AUUAUCUAGGUCUGUGGUUGAAAGUCGAUGCUAGUCGCAGGCAAAACGAUCCACGUAAACAGGAGAAGCUCCUGUGAGCAUGGUGCGGCUUAGAAAUAAGUCCGUCCAAUAGAUUCAUUUAUUGAGAGAUGCUGUAGUGAGGGGUUGAUUCCUAGUAGCGAAACAUCCUGACGGCGAGUGUGGGGUCAAAGACCAGGUCAGCUAGAGUAAU
rnacentral:ncRNA from 1 species